ACCAGGCCCAUGCCUUACUAUCUGUCCCUGAUCUCUACAGAAGGAAAGAAAUAAUGUUUCUAUACCACAAGAGCUCACAGAGAAGGCGUUGAAAACCACAGGAGACUGGGGCCUUACCGGUCUGGUCAAACUCUCAUUUGAAGAAGAGACUGAAGCUCCCAGGGAGGUCAAAUAUCACAGAAUCAACUCUUGAAAGUCAUGAGAAAACCAACUGGAAUCUUUGUUUGAACCUUGUGGCAAUACAUGAAGAUCCACCAGGACUGCAAAGUUCCCGCACUGAAAUAGAAGAGGCACUGACUCAUAGCUGAUGGGACCAGUGACAACGGCUAACUGAAGAAAGGGAAGAGCACCUGUGAUAUUUUCAGCUCUCUGUUUUCUUGUACUAUGCUUUACAUGCAUAGGCUUUUUCAAUAGGAUGUUAAGUGGCUUCUGUUCUAUACUAUAUUGGCAUCAAGAAACCUAAGAAUUGUAACUUGAGGCCUCUCUGCCUUCCUCAAGUCAUCUAUCAAUGUUGCUUGCAUUGGAAUUACAGUGAUGACUGGGCUUAUCUUCCCAAGAAGGAUACAUUGGAUGAGCAGAUAUCUGGGUUGAAUAUGAGUGAUGACCAAGGCAAGGGUGGAGUUGAACAAGAAGCCAGAGCAGACAGCCUAGAAGCCUAGAAGCCAGAGAGGCCUAAAAGGCACUUUAAGAUAUGGGUUCUGGUAUCUACAUUGAUGUCUUUUAAUGUUAGCCUUACUAUUAAAUUAAUACUAUUUUUUAAAAUCAUUCUGGAAAACCAUAACACAUAAAGAGCUGAUUUCUAAUGGCCACAAGCACUGUAUUUUAAAUCCUACAGUCAUAAUGAAAGGAGGCUUACCUUUUAAGAACUUAGUCAAAAUCAAGCUCUAACUUUCCCAUCUAAAUCCAAUGAAACACAAAAUUCAAUCUGGGGUUUUCUAAUACAUCCUGGUCUAUAAUUGAUUAUAGAUUAAUUGGAUUUUUCUUUCUUUGAAUAAAUAAAGUAUCAAUUCUUACACUGGUAAUAUAGGAGAGAAUUUUCCUAGAUUUCUGGAAGAUUCUAUGCUUGGCAGGCUGUGGUUCUCUCUGGGCAACCACCAGGCCUUGCCUCUCUCUAGCAGAAGCUUGGAUGAUCUGCACUAAUCAGGACCAUUGUGCCUCCUAAAGUUCUCUGCUCUCAAGGCUCUGCUUCUUUCUCCCCUGAGUAAAUGGAGGUGAACAAACUAGGCCUCUAAGCACAGCAGGAGGCACAGCCUCCCUUCCUCCUUAGCAUUAAUUAGGAGCUUGUUUCUACUCAGAAUAAAAACUCUCCAGCUCUCUUCAGGACAGAAAACAUGGGAAGCAUCACUUCUUCCACAGGCAAGAGUGGGUCAUUCAAGAAGGGAUUCAAAGGGCUUUGAGAAAUAGCUGCACAUUGUUAGGGAGGAAUGUUAGUGUACAGGGGAUUCCACUGGCCUGCCCUCAGGGACCUACCAAUUACUUCUGUCAUGAACUGCUACCACUGCCAGGUGAACAUCAGGUGUGUGCUGCACACAAAAGGACCCACCCUCCACUCAGCAGCUCUCUCUCUCUCUUUCAGUCUGUUCCCAGCAUCCUCUCUGUCUGUUCUCUGCACACACACACACACACACACACACACACACACACACACACACACACACCUCUUGACCUUUGCUCUCAUAGCCCUGCUGUCUGUCUAUCUCCAUGUUCACCUGUCUGCCUCCAUCUCCUUUUCCAGGCCCUCACUCCUCUUCCCUCCCCAAUAAACUCCUUUUCCACCAGAUCUGUUGCCUGGCUUAAUUUCUCAGGGGUGCACCUUGGCUGGGGUCCACAAAGAUGACAUCCUUCACCAUAUUAUAUCUUAUAACAUUAGUGCUGUAACUCAGAGGAAUGUUAGCCUACAGGAGAUUCCUGUGGCCUGCCCCUAGGGACCUAGCAAUUGCUUUCCUCAUCACCUGCUGCCACCAGGUGCACCAGGUGAGUGAAGUCAGCAAAAGAACCUACCCACCACCCCAGCACGCACGCGCUCUCUCUCUCUCUCUCUCUCUCUCUCUCUCUCUUUCUCUCUCUCUCUCUCUCUCUCUCUCUCUUUCUCUCUCUGUCCCCUGUGUUCUCUCUUUGUCCUUCUCUGCCCCCUCUCCCUGCCAUCACGGAUCUGCUAUCUGUCUGCUGUCUAUAUGUCCACUUGUUUGCCUCUCCCCUUUCCCAGGUCCUCCCUCCUCUCCCCUCCCAAGUAAACCUCUUUACACCAGGCCGGUAGCAUAGCUUAGUUUUCAGGCCUGCCACAGAUACUCCCUCACUUUAUUAUGUUUCAUAACUCAGUCAUGCACUCAGUUGUACACACACAGGCCAACUUUUCCUUUUACCCCUCUAUCUAGAAGUGGUUACCCAAAAUCCUGGGAGGUACUCCAACAAUUGCCUUUCCCUAGCCUUCUGGAAUAGGUCACUUCAUCUUGUAAGUUGUCUUUUUUAAUGUGUUCUUAGAUAUCCAUUCACUCCUGUUCCGCUGCUUCUCCCACACCCACUUAAGACUACCAGAACCUUUCCUAGUGGUGUCCCCAUGAACCUGUAAUGACAGCAACAGAGCACUCCUACUCUAGCCAAUCUGAACCUCUCAUUAGGCCUCACUGCUGUGUCCUACUGCUUGGUAGGGUCACCAUCCUCCAAACCUAACAGGUGCACAGCAAGUUCUGAAAAGUUUUUCUGACGUAUUUAUCUUCCUCCUCUGGAUUAGAUACAUUCUUAAAGUGCUUAUAGACUCCUGCAUUAAAUGACUGGUCUGUGGAGGAGACCUCCCUGCUAGAACGUGAGUGUAAGCAGAAAUGGUUCCAGAACAGAGUGGACUUUAAAGCCCUGUGAUUAGCACUCUAGCAGCCCAUGAAAAUGUUUCAUAUUCAGUGGCAGAAAGAAAAAACAUAUGACCCAACAAACUGCCCUAAGUUUUAGGGCGAGGCAAGGACUCAAAAGCCUUUUCUAGAAACAAGGCCAUGGCUAUUCAUCCCAGUGCACCGAUGAACACUCCUCAUUUUACAUCGAUGAAAGCUGUCAUCAUCAGGGGUAAAAGUUUCGUUUUGUUUCGUUUCGUUUCAUUUUGUUUUAUUUUUUCUUUCAAAAUUUAAAGUGCAAAGAUCCUGGGACUACCCAAGCAUAAGGUCAAUGGCAGACACACCAUGGUUAUUUCACCUUCGGUGGCCUAACUUUAUGUUGUGCUCUUUUUGAGUCUUCAGAGAGACCUUGUCUUCUGCCUUUACAAAACUAUAACAUAAAAGUGAAAACGGUAGCAUGUGAAAAUCAAUACACUGUGAAAAUCAAUACAGAGCACAUACACAGAAGAGUUUCCACACUGUCUGAGCCCUCAUUAACACAGGGGCACAACCUCACGGUACUCACCCAACACAGUGUUCAUCUAAAACCCAGAGACAGCAGAGAAAAGGCCCUGCAUGGGAGGUGUUGACUCAGUGAAUCCCAUGAAACAGCAAGCCAUGGAGGAAAACCAACCACAGCACUCAAAGUGGCCAUGAUAGUUCUAUAUGCUCAAGUCCAUAAUGCAGACCCACAGGUCAAUGUCAGCACAGGAUGCUAACAGAGCAGGAAGUCUCGGGUUACAGAGGAACCCUGAAAGGCAGAGGGAGCAAGGGGACAGGCAAGUUUCUCAGGCAGAAGAGAGGAUCAUGGCAGGCAGUGGGAACCAGGGUCAGGAAGAUGUAUUCAAACCUGACUGCACAAAGAAGACACAAGGGAAGUCCAUCCUGAGGGCAAAGGAUCCUUCAGGCACCAAUUUUCCUGGGUGAAAUAUGAGAACUCCUUCAAAGAGACUUCGACUCUAGAUCCUACCUCCAUGGCUGACUACAUACUUGUUUCUACCUGGAUACAAAAUGCUCAUCCUUCUAUAAAUAAAUGUCACCACAAAGACAUACAAAAUAUGGCAAUUUGUCUUCUCUACCAUUCCAUCAUGGCUCAUAUAAACACAUUACAAAAAUCUACACAAUAUAAAACACCAACUACAUGGCUAGAAAUCACCAGAUAAACUACAGCAGAUGACCAAGGGAAAGAUCUCCACAUGCAAUACCCGUCCCUUUGGCACUUCAGGACAACCCCCACUCCCACCUCCAGGCAGGACUAAACUCUCAGCACAGCCACAGCACUUCUUCCUGCUUCUGCUCUGAAGCUCACCACAGGCAGCAAACACGUGACUACAGUCACAUCUGGCACUCAAGAAGCCUGCCUGCAUAAAGUCAUGCCUUCAGGGUUCCCUCGGAGUUGUCAAUUCCCAGGACUGAGUGUGACACAUAGGUGGCAAAGAAGAAUGUUAAAGGAGUAAAAGCAUCACUAGGGAAAAGGGCUCAUUGGCCUUGCUGCUUUAGGAGGGACCACCUCCCCCUCUCUUACAGCCUUUCCACAGAAUAAGACUACAGAAUCAAGCCCACAGCUUACAAUUAAGAUUACCUCACAUACUGACAGAAAGAGGCAAUAAUACAUUCUUAGUUCAAGCCAAUGAGUUAUUUUCUCACUUUCAAACCAGUCAGAUCCAAGGACAAAUCUAGGCUUCAUGAACCAGUUCCAUCAGAGGAAAGUUACUGGGUAAAGUCAGCGAAAGAUUUACUCUCUGAGUUCAAGUUUUUCUAGUUAAAAUGGAUUGGAAGAGACAGAAGUAGCCUAUAUGAGGCCAAAAGGGGUUGGGACAGGAGAGCUGCUUUUCCUCUAUGUUCACUGUAGGAUUCUAAUUACAGGGCGAGGGACUUUCUAGUCAUUCCAAAGUUUACAGUAGAUUCCUCACUAAGAUUUAUCUCUAUUUUAAAGAUACAGAGAAAAUCAUAAAGAAACGGAAAGAAAGCCAAGGGGAAGACAGAUAAAGUGGGUUUGAUGGUGGCUUCUGUAAGGAGAAAUGAGUAAGAAAGAGGCUGCUUGGUGUCCUUUAGCAAACUUUCUUGUCCAUUCAAAAAAGAGAAAGACAGGCUUAGGAAAAGAUGCCGUGCUGUUGGAAAUAAAGCAGUGGCCACUGAAACUACUGUUAGUAAAGGGAUUGCUUUAGUACACACCACUGGGACCUCCGUACAAAACUAGGAACUCUAUCCACCACUGUACACAGAGCAAAGUUAGGAACAGGCUUCCAGUCACUACCUCACUGUUUUAGGUGCUUUCCCUAGCAAUUUUCAAAUGUAAUCCGCAGCCCUUUCACUUCAGUUACCCAACCUAUGGCAGGUUCAGAGCACUGUAGCAAUGAGGGACACAAUGCCCUAAGUGUAGGGCGGAUGAUGUCAGCCCCAUCCCCCUCUCUUUACUCCCCUCUAAAGAUGGUAUCUGUUUCAAUUCCAGGACAUUCUAAUUAGACUCAAAAUUAUCAAUUAAAAAUGUUUUGCACAUAUGUAGUGCCAAGUAUUUACUAAGAUCUAAUAAAUGCUUGAAAUUCUUUUGUACCUUUACUCGAGCAAUGCAGUGCUUCUGGGAAGAGCAGGCAGAUGAUGUAUAAUCAUGCCAGAGGGCAAAGUAAAAUAUAUACACGCUGCUCUUACAUAUUUCUGCUACAGAGAAUGUGGAGGAAAAGGUAAUUCACUAUGAAGUAUUAUGAAGUCCUGAGUCUCCAAAGGAGCAGAACAGAGCAGGCACCAUUCAGAGUUGGCAACAUGAAGGCUGGUCUACAACAUGAUCAGGACCAAUGAUGGCUUCUGUACCCUGAAAUGGUGUUUGGAACACAGACCUGUACAUUUCUAUCAUAAACGCCCCCCACACCCCCCCUCUCUCUCAAACAAUGUGUAUGUCAGUGUGUUUAUAUGUAUGUUAUCUGUGUCCUCUGUAUGAGUGUGUGAAGGUAUGUAUGUGUAUGUAUGUAUGUAUAUGUACAUGUGGUAUGUGCAUGUGUAUAUGUGUGUGUAUGCAUGUAUAUAUAUAUAUAUAUGUAUAUGUUAAAAAAUUCUAUGUUCCUGAUGAUACACUAAAAAUCAGGUUAACUUGAGCUGGAGGAAUUUAUAAGAUAUUAUUAUGAGUCAAAGAAAAGCCCUCUAAUAUUCUUGGUGACCAACACCUAGACUGAGGUAGUUUGAAAUGGAAGGUAGUCUUAGAGGGAGAUUUGUGCACAGUAAGAAUGAAGGUGAAAGAGCGAGGGCAUAACUUUCCUACCUCCUUGGGUGGGACAUGUAAUCUUUAACCAAGAAUUUAGGGAUUUUUCAAUGAUUUAGAGGAAUUCCAUUUCUUGGGCUAAAUACCAAAUAAUUUAAAGAAUACUCCCACAACAGUGUUCUUUUCUUCUACUUUAAAAUAACAAAGAAUUUGCCAAAUUGUGUCUUGCACUUAACCCAGUCAAGUUGCCAUUUAAAUUUUUUCUGGGGUAGUAACUCUGUACAAAUACUAUUUCUCUUUCUCUCUCUCUCUCUCUCUCUCUCUCUCUCUCUCUCUCUCUCUCUCUGUGUGUGUGUGUGUGUGUGUGUGUGUGUGUGUGUGUGUUUGUGUGUGUGUUUACACACACGCACCAGCCAAAUUUGACAGGCCAAAGAUGAGGCUACAUAUUACCUGUACAGACAAAAAAAAAGAAUCUAAUUGUGUGGCUGCAAACUGAGUCAUAGCCUUAGAAUAAAGACUCCCCACACACUGUGCAUAUGAGAGGUGCAUACUUCUGCAGGGCUCAGGGUCACCAGAGCUGGAGAGGUCCCAAAGAGGCAAACCGUAUGCCCAUCUCUGUCCUUGCCAAACUCUUCCUUUUGGUUAUUCUUCUGGGGAGACACUCUCUGUGUGUAGAACCUGAAGGGUAUUUAUCAUAACAGUCUCUAGUCUUGACCCCUGGUUCUCCAAGUGCCAGAAUUUUCUGUAGCUAGUUUGAGUUGUAAAUAGGGAUCUCAUACAAGUUUCCAGGAUAAGUGUAAGGCCCAGUGUUUUACAAGCCUACAGGUGAUUCUCAUGGCUGCUCUAGAAAGUCUGAUGUCGAUCCUUAAGAAUGCCAGAGGACUGCUCACAGCAUUUUCGGUAUGAGAUCGGAAGGGCCUGACAAAGUCUCCCCACAUAAUGCAGGAGAAGCUGGGGCUCACUAGAGUAUACAAUCCCAAAGUUCCUUUACACACACAAUUUGUUAUGAUUAUGAAAACAAUAGAUCCUUUCAUUGGUAUGAAUUAUUGUCUUUAAAAAUAAGACCUCUCUGGAGGUCAACUGUGAUAUAGAGCCAAGGAUGAGAAUCACAGAUAAAAUAAUGUCUUGCUAAAGAUCUUAAAAAUUCACUUCUGGUUCACUUCCAGGUUUUUUACACUAACAUGAAGUCAACCAACCAAGAUACUAUUCUCUGAAGUGGGAUGAUAAAGGUGGUGAUGGAAAUCAAGAAGGCUGGAUCAUGGUUGACAAGUAGCAUGGACUGGUAAGGAAAGAGCAGAAAUGGAAUGAAAGAGGAUAAACUCCAAACAGUAAGAUUCUGUAGCAGUGCUUGAGUUAUUUAAUGAGUGUGGGGCCCAGACCAUGCAUAGAGGCUGCUCUAGGCACAGGGUGGGUCACGUGGGCACUGGAGAGUGCUGGGAACUGCUAGUAGCACUGCAUUAAGAACUGACAAGCAGCAUGACAGGCAUGUUUCCAAUGGGACAGAGCAAGGGUUUAGCAGAUUAUUCGGGGAAAUCAAGAAAAAAAAAACCACUAUUAUUAAAAUCAAACUUCCUCUUCUUCCUUGAAGGGUUCCUAGACUGCCAUAAAUGGUAGAAAGUGGAGUCAAAGCACAUAAAAUGUCAGUCAGGAAUUGUAAUUUCCUAUGUCCUCCAUAAUAUAUCACUAACUAUAAAAGUGUCUUUUACCAAUGGCCAGUGGCCCUCAUUGACAAGUGCAAUGGUCCAACUCUCGAUUGUUCUGUUACUUUACCUCUCAGUGUCACCUAACAAAAUAAUUCACUCGCCCUGUCCGCCCCUGAUGUAUGGAACCCCUGAUGUAUGGAACACCAGUAGCCUGCUUUCCUGGCUUUCUUUCACCACAAGCUGCUUUUUCUUAGUCUUCGUUCCUAGCUUGUCCCCUUCACAGUGGCCUUGUAAGUAGGGAAGCCCAUUCCUUGGGUAUAUCUUAGCAUCAUGUACACUCACAUCUCAGGUUUCACAAGCUGAUAGAUGGCAAUUUUUUUUUUUUUUUUUUUUUUUUUUUAGUUCUUGGCUUGGAUGUCCCACAACUCCAGAUACAUGCACCCAAUUGCCAAUUGAGGAACCCAUGUUCCUCAUUUUCGCUAAGAUAUUGAACAAACAAUUUAACAGACUUAAAAUGAUACUGUCCAUAUUUUAUUCUGGAAUCUGCUCCUACCAGGUUAAGUUGAGCUGGCUUGGUAAAUAGCAACUCUUGCCUAAUUGUUCAGGCCAGAAACUUGGGACUUUUUUUUUUUUUUUUGAUGUGUGUCUUUUUCUCAUAUUCCACAUCAAAUCUGCUAGCAAGCCCUAACAUUCUACAUUUUAAAGGGUCUGGCUGAGGAGAGAAGCUCAACAUAUACUGACAAAAUGAAUCUAAGUAUGUGCAAAAGGUCUCAGUGAAUUAAAACAAACAAAAAACAGAGCAAUGGAACAUAUGGAUGGAUUUAUAGGCAUUUAACAAAGCCACAAGGGCCAGUUGAUACAUCCACACAUCUUGCAUGUGAUUUGAAGAGUUGUUCCUAGGUUCCAGGAUUCUUAUCCUCCC